UUGGAGGGCAAGUCUGGUGCCAGCAGCCGCGGUAAUUCCAGCUCCAAUAGCGUAUAUUAAAGUUGUUGCAGUUAAAAAGCUCGUAGUUGAAUUUCGGGGUUAGUAGGUUGGUCAUGCCACUGGUAUGUACUGGUCUCGCUGAUUCCUCCUUCCUGAUGAGACGUAAUGCCAUUAAUUUGGUGUUGCGAGGAAUCUGGACUGUUACUUUGAAAAAAUUAGAGUGUUUAAAGCAGGCUAACGCUUGAAUACAUUAGCAUGGAAUAAUGAAAUAGGACGUUCGAUCUUAUUUUGUUGGUUUCUAGGAUUGACGUAAUGAUUAAUAGGGAUAGUUGGGGGCAUUAGUAUUCAAUUGUCAGAGGUGAAAUUCUUGGAUUUAUUGAAGACUAACUACUGCGAAAGCAUUUGCCAAGGAUGUUUUCAUUAAUCAAGAACGAAAGUUAGGGGAUCGAAGACGAUCAGAUACCGUCGUAGUCUUAACCAUAAACUAUGCCGACUAGGGAUCGGAUGAUGUUAAUUUUUUAAUGACUCAUUCGGCGCCUUACGGGAAAC
rnacentral:rRNA from 1 species